rnacentral:sRNA from 1 species
UGGUGGAGGUGGAGGUGAGGUUCCAAUCACAUAUGCGCAGCUUGAUCAUCGGGCUCACCUCUUGUCUCAUCAUUUUCUCUUAAAUUCUGGUGCACCUUUGCCAUCAAGAGCAGAGUCAGCACUAAUCUGAAUGCUAAAGGGGUAUACCCAGGACGGGAGGUUAGCACUGGGCCCCUGCCUGCAAGGUACCAAGUCUGAUCAUUUUCCUACAAAAAUUCAGCUUUCGUGAGGGUCUGGUACUGCCCCUCAACCCAGAAUCCACCUAGCGGGGCAAAAUCCACACAACAAAAACCACCUUUUGAAACAGAAACCGGUGAGCAUUUGAAAUGUCGAGCCAGGUUUAUCCGGCUUGCCGCCAGCACUAGAAGCUCUUGAACUUGGGGACCCAAAGCGUCAUUGUUCUUCCCCCACAGUGCCCUGCCCUUGUUCUCCACACUCACUAUUCCUGACACAUCAGCACUGCUCUCGCUUCCCUGAGGGUGGCCCAAACUCCGGCUGGGAAGCUGAUUCGCUUCCAUGUCCUUGUCUUGUGUUGCUUGCUGUCUGGAGGACCGCAGGGGCAGUGUCUGCUAGCAUCCGGAGCUGCUCAUGGCAGUAGGAGUGUGGGUGAGGGAAGUAAAGGUAUGGAUCUCUGUAAUAGAUUCCAUCUAUUGUAAGAAAGAAGCUACUUUGAUGAGAGAUGAGAGUUACAUUUAAAGUGGGAUUCAGACUACUGUGCAUAACACCAUUCCAUAGAUACCUACUCCUGGCUUAAAACAUAAGAAGGCCAGUUAAGCAUGAGCCCUGGAGAAAGCCAAAAAACAUCAUUUCUCCAUGAUUUCUGCCUUGAAUUCCUGCUC